CGCUAAGGCGUCGAAGUAGUGGAUGUCAUACUUCCAAGAAAAGCUUGCACUGUCAUAAAUAUAAAACGCCUGUACCAUAACCGACACAGGUGGGUAGGUAGAGUAUACUAAGGGGCGCGAGAUAAUUCUCUCUAAGGAACUCGGCAAAAUAACUCCGUAACUUCGGGAGAAGGAGUGCCUUAUUCGUAAGGCUGCAAUAACAAGAUCCAAGCAACUGUUUAUCAAAAACACAGGUCUCCGCUAAGUCGUAAGACGAUGUAUGGGGGCUGACGCCUGCCCAGUGCCAGAAGGUUAAAGAAGUCGGUUAGCAUUAGCGAAGCUGGUAACUGAAGCCCUGGUGAACGGCGGCCGUAACGAUAACGGUCCUAAGGUAGCGAAAUUCCUUGUCGGGUAAGUUCCGACCCGCACGAAAGGCGUAAUGAUUUGGAUACUGUCUCGGAGAGGGGCUCGGUGAAAUAGACUUGUCUGUGAAGGUGCGGACUACCUGCACCAGGACAGAAAGACCCUAUGAAGCUUUACUGUAACUUGAAAUUGAAAUUGGACUUUAUUCGCGCAGUAUAGGUGGGAGGUGUUGAUUAUAAUCUUGCGGGAUUAUUGGAGCCAUCAGUGAGAUACCACUCUUGUAAUGUUAGAUUUCUAACUUUGAAUCAUUAUCUGGUCAAAGAACAGUUUCAGGCGGGCAGUUUGACUGGGGCGGUCGCCUCCUAAAUGGUAACGGAGGCGUACAAAGGUUUCCUCUGAACGGGUAGAAAUCGUAUCUAGAGUGUAAAGGCAUAAGGAAGCUUGACUGUGAGACCUACAAGUCGAGCAGGGACGAAAGUCGGUCUUAGUGAUCUGACGGUACUGAGUGGAAAGGCCGUCACUCAACGGAUAAAAGUUACUCUAGGAUAACAGGCUGAUCUCCCCCAAGAGUUCACAUCGACGGGGAGGUUUGGCACCUCGAUGUCGGCUCAUCGCAUCCUGGGGCGGUAGUACGUCCCAAGGGUUGGGCUGUUCGCCCAUGAAAGCGGUACGCGAGCUGGGUUCAGAACGUCGUGAGACAGUUCGGUCCAUAUCCGGUGUAGGCGUUAGAAUAUUGAGAGGAGCCUUCUUUAGUACGAGAGGACCGAGAAGGACAUACCUCUGGUGUACCAGUUAUCGUGCCAACGGUAAACGCUGGGUAGCUAUGUAUGGAGUGGAUAACCGCUGAAAGCAUCUAAGUGGGAAGCCCACCUCAAGAUAAGUAUAC
rnacentral:rRNA from 1 species